AAAGAUUAAGCCAUGCAUGUCUAAGUAUAAACAAUUUUGUACUGUGAAACUGCGAAUGGCUCAUUAUAUCAGUUAUAGUCUACUCGAUAGUACCUUACUACUUGGAUAACCGUAGUAAUUCUAGAGCUAAUACAUGCAUAAAUACCCAACUGCUUGUCGGGCGGGUAGCAUUUAUUAGAUUGAAACCAAUGCAGUCUUCGGGCUGGUAUUGUGUUGAGUCAUAAUAACUGUGCGGAUCGCACUUUGUGCGAUAAAUCGAUUGAGUUUCUGCCCUAUCAGCUUUGGAUGGUAGGAUAUGGGCCUACCAUGGCAU
rnacentral:rRNA from 1 species